ensembl:lncRNA
UUUUUCUCUCACAGAGUAUAGAAAGUGUAGGCUUUAAAAUGAAACAUAUAUGCUUUGGCAAAAUACUUUUUUUUAUCAGUGCAGAAAGAUUUUAAAAUUUCUUCCUGACUAGAAUGGAGCUCUUGUUACAUUUGUCAGCAAGUCAUGCAUUAAAAAAAGACAAAAACAGAAGACCCAGAAUGACCAGCAAAAGCAUCUAUCUAGCCAGAGAGACCAUUAUUUUUAUUGGCUUCAUCAAAUGCCAACAGAGAAACAUGAAACAUGCAGUGUUGGUUGGAUGUUGCAUAAAGAAGGGGUCAGAAGAUGGACAUGAAUGGGAAGGAAGCAAAAAGUCAGCAAAUGUCUGCCAGAACUUCUAUGCUGUGUACAGGAGGAAGUGAAUGAUGUAAAAGUGGACGUAAAGUGGCUAUAACCGAUCUCAUUCUAGGGAGAGGUCUGCUGCCCAAGUUCACACACGAAGCCAAUGCAAGCGAAGCAGCUUUUCUCCUGGGUCUCACAUUAGCACUUGGACAGCUGAACCCAGGUUUCUGCACUCUGAGCCCAAGCAGGACACAGAAACACAUUAAUUUGGCCAAGAAAUGGUGUCUCCAUGAAGAUAAGACCAUUGGCUCUCUAUGAAAAAAAAAAAAAGUUUAUCUCCAAUGCAGGACAUGGGUCUGUAUUACUUAUGUGUGUCAAACAUUUUCAAAAUUCCGUAGUCAGUUUACUUUGAAAAAAUCACAUUAAUUUUCUGCAUUUGAAGAGAGAUGUGAAAUUUUUCUAAGAAAUCUAGCAGAGCUCAGGAUUUCUAAGAAACUGAAACUUCUAGUUUUACAGCCUAAGUUAUAUCUCAUUAGUCAUGUGACUAAUCAAACCAAACUGAUUGUGUAUCAGCAUGUGUAUUUUUGUGUAAUAUAUUGUGCAAUUUGCUUCAUAAUGGACUGAAUUUUAGUAGUUAUUAGUACGUCUUUUAACAGCAAAAGCAACAACAGUGGGAGAUUAUUAUUUUCUUAUCUAAUUUUGCCAGUUCUACAAUGAGUUAAAAAUGGUAGCUAUUUUUCUUUUAGAAGCACAUUGUAUAUCACAGCAGAGGGGGGGAUCUAAGGGGCAAAGCAGAUACACAGCCUCAUAGACAUCUGUCUUGUUUUGGUUGUUCUAUAUACACAGACCUGUCAUAAAAGAAAUUUUAAAGAGAUGAAGAGGAGGGAGGAAAAAUUAUUACAAAAAAUUGUUAAAGGAAAUACAGUUAAUAAUCAACAUGUAUAUUUUAAUUCCACUUUUAUUGAAUAUAGAAAUCUUACUAUUAAAGUUGUAUUUAUUAUAGCUGAAAGGGGAGCUGAUAGAAUAACUAUUCUGAAGAAUUGUACAAGAAAGGUUUUUAGAAAUUUUAAGUAGCAGCAGGAGAGUAGAAACUAUAAUGCACACUAUCAUUUUUUUCUCUCCCAAAUGGGCUGGAGAAGAAUAGAUGUCUUGUAAAAUCAGCGUUUUCAUUUCCAGAUGGUAUUUACUUUGUGGAAAAGAGAAGCAACAGUUUUAUCACUUAAGUUUAGCACUAGUCACUGUACUUAAGAGUUUGAUCUUGAAAUUGCUUUCAGAAAAAACUAGUGCUUUAGACAGCUGGAAAAAAAAGAACUAAUUAAGAAUAGUUAGUGUUUAGUUGGCAGCCUGAGAUACAAAUCACUUUUUACAAGGUCUUUCCAUUUAUGUUUGUAUGGUAUGUUAAAAAUGAAAUGUUGGAAAUCACUGGUAAUCAUGUAUAAUCCUGUUGCCACCACACAGCAACAAUACACAGUGAUGAGCAUUGCUACUGCAACUGUACUCAGCUGCAAGCCAUUAAUAAGCUGAAUACAGCUAGGAUGCUCAGGUGUCAGUGUCCUAUGCAAUUUAUUUAUAGACAUAUGUUUUGCAUCUGUUAAGAGAGGAAGACACAUUUCCUACUGAAGAAUGCCAUUAAUAUGCCAAAUAGAGAGGAAAGAGUUUUGUAUUUCAUAGAGUUGUUUACUAUUCAUCUGAGCCUAGGAUAUUCCUCCAGUAUCAAGAAGACAUUUACGUCUAUUCUGCCCUCAUGAGGCCACACCUAGAGUACUGCGUCCAGUUCAGGAUUCCCCAGUUCAAAAAAGAAAAAAAAGCCAGGAAACUACUAGAGAGAAUCCAGUGCAGGGCCACAAAGAUUAUUAGGGGCCUGAAGCAUCUCCCUUAUGAGGAAAAGGACCUGGGAUUGUUCAGCCUGGAGAAAAGACUGAAAGGGGAUCUUAUCCAUGUUUUAAAAAUCUAAUGGACAGGAUUCAAGAAAAUGGGGCCAGAUUCUUUUUGGUGAUGCCCAGUGACAGGGCAAGGGGUAAUGGGUACAAACAGGAACGUAGGAAGCUCCAUACAAACAUGAGGGAAAAAUUCUUCACUUUGAGGAUGACAGAGCACUGGAACAGGCUUCUGGAGUCUCCUACUCUGGAGAUAAUCAAAACCUUCCUGCAUGCUUCCUUGUGUAAUCUACUGUAAGGAACCUACUUUAGUAGGAGAGUUGGACUAGAUGAUCUCCAGAGGUCCCUUCCAACCCCUACAAUUUGUGAUUCUGCAUUUCUGUGAUCCAUAUGGAAGAGAAUGAACCUUACUCCAUCUAAGAAAGUGUACAGGCUACUUGUAAUUACACGGGGAACAGAGAAAUUAAACUUCAGAUGGAGACCUAAGAGGUGUGGUAAGAGUUAAGCAGCUGCACCAAAAGAGGAAGACAAUGGUAAUUAUAAGACUUGGAGCCAUCCUUUUAUCAGGAGGUAAAAGGAAAGGGAGGUGCUUAAGGAAAGUGAAUCCUAUUGAUAUGGGUCUGAUAUGGGAACCUCCAGGAGGUUCCUGGAUUUAAUUGAUAAAUUCCUUCUUGCGGUGAUAGAGGAUUCAGUGAGGAGAGGAACUCUCACCAACAUGGAAGGGCUUGUGGCAAAUCUGAAGACCAAGGGUAGCCUUGACUGAAGAGGCUGUGAAGUGAGGGAGUUAAGAUCCAUAGGGCAGCUGGAUCAAGCUCACUGCCUAUGGAUGCCUUAUCCUUGUAAGCAUUCAAGGCCAGGUGGGAUGGGGUUUUGGUCAACCUGACCUAGUGGAAGGUGUCCCUGCUCAUGUCAGGGGAUCAGAAUUAGAUGAGUUUUAGGAUCCUUUCGCACCAAAAACUUUCCGUGGUUGUAAGAUUCUAUGGCUUCCAUUUAAGUAAACUAACUGCAAUUUUUCUUCAAUUUCUUCACCUCAGUCUUUUUUAAAGAAAUGUUAAAAAUAAUUUACUUUAGAUUUUAUGAAUAAAUUUGUUUACUUAUACAUGUAUUCAUAUCUAUAUUAACGUCAUUUGAUUUAAGAAUAAUUUUUCUCAUUUAUUAACUAUAUUGUACCCUGGGACUUUAUGUCCCAAGAACUCCAGCUCCAUAGAGUAUGUUUUGCUUUAUUGAAAGGUUAACAGAAGAAAUGCUCCUUUGAACUACAUGUUUUAACAUGGAGAUUUGGCAUCAUAGGAAUUACAAAAGUUCAAUCUGUCUUCUAGAAAUUGUGACAAACUCUUUGGUGAGGAUUUUUCUCAAUAAAAUUUUGAAGCUACUUGCCAUUAUAUUAAAUAUCAAUCAUAGUUAUAACCUCAGUUAUUAAACACCUUUAAGAGUAAAAUAACUUUUAAAAAGAGAUUUUUUUCUCUCUUUUUUUUUUUUUUUUCUGAGGAAGAAAUGGGAUCCCUUGCAAAGGCAAGGGAAUGCUACCAGUGCUCAUAAAGUGGAUUAGUGGUAGAACUUCCCAGAACUUACAUAGUGUUGGACUGAUAAUUUAGUAGCAGAAAGUAAUCUCCUAGAGAGUGCUUCACCAAGGAAAUAAUCAACUGCUUGCAUUCUGAUAUCACACAUCAAUGAAAAAGAAGAAAAAUAAAAGAAAGAAGGAAUAUAUUAUAAACUGUAUAUGCUGUAUUAUCUUAGAUAAAAUAAAGGAAUAAAAAGUCUAAUAUUUGCCAUUGGAAAGACAAACAUAUUGUUUGAAUAGAAAGCAUGAACUUUGAGUAAGUCAGCAUACAAAGCAUAGUAAAAGUACAAUUUCCCAUUGUUGACAGUAUGCAUUAAGUUUGUUCCACAAACAUAAACAAUACAUCCAGAGUGGGAAAUGAGCAAAACAUCAGCCUUCUAGAGAACCUGUUGCGCAUUUUCUCCAGCACAUUCAUCAACUUGGGGGAUUUUUCACAGCUGUCAUUAAAUGGUACUGGCCAGUUAAAAUGUGGUGUAAUUUUUGCAUUUACAUUGUGAAUAUUCUGUGAAGUAAAUGCAAUCAGUUUCACAAAGUAUUAUUAUAAGUCACCUCACAUAUUUUUAACACUUCAUUUUGUCCACUUUGAAAAAAACACUUGCCUGGUGUAACCAAAAUAAGUGUAGCAAAGUAAAUAUCACGAAGACAAUUUCUUUGCUGAGAUCACUCUCAUACUUCUGUUAUCAAGUCACUUCUUAAAAGAUUUGCCAAAAAUAAACUUUCUGAUGAUGGCAUCCAUUUAUGUUCAGUUCUUAGUGUGAAAGCAAGAAGGUAUUAUCAAUCCAGCAGACCAUAAAGACCUUUUCAAUAGAUCCUAUCCUUUUCCUCUGG